GAUGAAGAACGUAGCAAAAUGCGAUAAGUAGUGUGAAUUGCAGAAUUCAGUGAAUCAUCGAAUCUUUGAACGCACAUUGCGCCCCUUGGUAUUCCAUGGGGCAUGCCUGUUCGAGCGUCAUUUGUACCUUCAAGCUCUGCUUGGUGUUGGGUGUUUGUCUCGCCUCUGCGUGUAGACUCGCCUCAAAACAAUUGGCAGCCGGCGUAUUGAUUUCGGAGCGCAGUACAUCUCGCGCUUUGCACUCAUAACGACGACGUCCAAAAGUACAUUUUUACACUCUUGACCUCGGAUCAGGUAGGGAUACCCGCUGAACUUAAGCAUAUCAAUAAGCGGAGGA
rnacentral:misc_RNA from 1 species